CCCGCUGAACUUAAGCAUAUCAAUAAGCGGAGGAAAAGAAACUAACAAGGAUUCCCCUAGUAACGGCGAGUGAAGCGGGAAAAGCUCAAAUUUGAAAUCUGGCGGUCUCUGGCCGUCCGAGUUGUAGUCUAGAGAGGCGUCUUCCGCGUCGGACCGUGUACAAGUCCCUUGGAAUAGGGCGUCAUAGAGGGUGAGAAUCCCGUCCAUGACACGGACUGCCGGUGCUCUGUGAUGCGCCUUCGAAGAGUCGAGUUGUUUGGGAAUGCAGCUCAAAAUGGGUGGUAAAUUCCAUCUAAAGCUAAAUACAGGCGAGAGACCGAUAGCGAACAAGUACCGUGAGGGAAAGAUGAAAAGCACUUUGGAAAGAGAGUUAAACAGUACGUGAAAUUGUUGAAAGGGAAACGCUUGGAGUCAGUCGCGUCCGUCGAGACUCAGCCUUGCUUCUGCUUGGUGCACUUCUCGAUGGAUGGGCCAGCAUCGAUUUUGGUCGCCGGAUAAGGGCUGGAGGAAGGUGGCACCUCUCGGGGUGUGUUAUAGCCUCUGGUCACAUACGGUGGCUGGGAUCGAGGACCGCAGCACGCCAUUAGGUCGGGGGUUCGCUCCACGCCAACGUGCUUAGGAUGCUGGCGUAAUGGCUUUAAACGACCCGUCUUGAAACACGG
rnacentral:rRNA from 1 species